UACAGAGGGGGCGAGCGUUAAUCGGAAUUACUGGGCGUAAAGCGUGCGCAGGCGGUGAUGUAAGACAGAUGUGAAAUCCCCGGGCUCAACCUGGGAACUGCAUUUGUGACUGCAUCGCUGGAGUGCGGCAGAGGGGGAUGGAAUUCCGCGUGUAGCAGUGAAAUGCGUAGAUAUGCGGAGGAACACCGAUGGCGAAGGCAAUCCCCUGGGCCUGCACUGACGCUCAUGCACGAAAGCGUGGGGAGCAAACAGG
rnacentral:rRNA from 1 species